rnacentral:rRNA from 1 species
GCCCACCGAUCGACCAUGCAAUUUCUCUGAGCAUUGAUCAGUAACAGUUGAUAAAUUCACAACUGGUAGCAUUGGAUCCCUUGGCACGCCAUUCGAUGAAGACCGUAGCAAAUUGCGAUAAGUGGUGUGAUAUGCGAGUCCAAAACUUAUACGUGAACCAUCGAAUUGUUGAACGCAUUGCAUCGAGCUUUGCCCAAGCACGAUAUGCCCCAUUGAGCGUCAUUAUGUCUUCGGAAUCUAUCCGAGUUCGGGAUUCAUGGCCAACUUCGGCCACGCUUCCUCAGAUGAUGUGCAUUGCUCAGGUUGUGCUCCUCGUUGUAAACUUCGAGACAGCAAGACUGAUGUGAUCGCUUGUUGUUGGGACCUCACGCAGCYGUCCCAAACACCGGCACUUGGUUGAACCGAGUGUCUCCUYCUUGACAUGACCUCACGGGGGUAAGACGACCCGCUAGACUUAAGCAUAUUAAUCAGCGGAGGAAAAGAAACUAACAAGGAUUCCCCCAGUAACUGCGAGUGAAGAGGGAAGAGCUCAAUGUGUGAAUCUGACCGGGAGUAAUGCCUGGUUCGAAUUGUGCACUAUUGACGCUGGAUCAGCGUAUGGGAGCUUGCGGCGGAUGUCCGAUGAAACACGGCACCACAGCGGGUCACAGUCCCGUACAUGCCCAUCAAGCACCUGCGCCUAUGACCAGUGUUCUUCGAGUCGCGUAGUUUUGUAUUGCUGCGCUAAUUGGGAGGUAGAGCCCUUCUAAAGCUAAAUAUGAUGGCGUGACCGAUAGCAAACAAGUACCGUGAGGGAAAGGUGAAAAGCAACCAUGCAGAAUGGGUUGAAAAAGAAGUGAAAGUGCUACCGGGAUAAGGGCUAUUGAUUGCAAGUGCGGGUUGCGUGUGCUUUAGUGCUACGCUUGCUGCCGUCGUGCAUCGAUUGGGGACUGGGGAGAACAGGGCGGCGGAAAUUCGGCUCGGUCUCGAGUGUUGUA